rnacentral:tRNA from 1 species
GUUUCCGUAGUGUAGCGGUUAUCACGUCUGCUUCACACGCAAAAGGUCCCCGGUUCGAUCCCGGGAGGGAACA